rnacentral:rRNA from 1 species
AAUAGAUACCCGGGUAGUCCACGCCGUAAACGAUGAGUGCUAAGUGUUAGAGGGUUUCCGCCCUUUAGUGCUGAAGUUAACGCAUUAAGCACUCCGCCUGGGGAGUACGGCCGCAAGGCUGAAGCUCAAAGGAAUUGACGGGGGCCCGCACAAGCGGUGGAGCAUGUGGUUUAAUUCGAAGCAACGCGAAGAACCUUACCAGGUCUUGACAUCCUCUGAUAACCCUAGAGAUAGGGCUUCUCCUUCGGGAGCAGAGUGACAGGUGGUGCAUGGUUGUCGUCAGCUCGUGUCGUGAGAUGUUGGGUUAAGUCCCGCAACGAGCGCAACCCUUGAUCUUAGUUGCCAUCAUUUAGUUGGGCACUCUAAGGUGACUGCCGGUGACAAACCGGAGGAAGGUGGGGAUGACGUCAAAUCAUCAUGCCCCUUAUGACCUGGGCUACACACGUGCUACAAUGGACGGUACAAAGAGCUGCAAGACCGCGAGGUGGAGCUAAAUCUCAUAAAAACCGUUCUCAGUUCGGA